GAUGAACGCUAGCUACAGGCUUAACACAUGCAAGUCGAGGGGAAACGACAUCGAAAGCUUGCUUUUGAUGGGCGUCGACCGGCGCACGGGUGAGUAACGCGUAUCCAACCUGCCCACCACUUGGGGAUAACCUUGCGAAAGUAAGACUAAUACCCAAUGAUAUCUCUAGAAGACAUCUGAAAGAGAUUAAAGAUUUAUCGGUGAUGGAUGGGGAUGCGUCUGAUUAGCUUGUUGGCGGGGUAACGGCCCACCAAGGCAACGAUCAGUAGGGGUUCUGAGAGGAAGGUCCCCCACAUUGGAACUGAGACACGGUCCAAACUCCUACGGGAGGCAGCAGUGAGGAAUAUUGGUCAAUGGACGAGAGUCUGAACCAGCCAAGUAGCAUGCAGGAAGACGGCCCUAUGGGUUGUAAACUGCUUUUAUAAGGGAAUAAAGUGAGUCUCGUGAGACUUUUUGCAUGUACCUUAUGAAUAAGGACCGGCUAAUUCCGUG
rnacentral:rRNA from 1 species